rfam:Felis catus isolate Cinnamon breed Abyssinian chromosome A1, whole genome shotgun sequence.
GCCUGGGUGGCUCAGCUGGUCAAGCGUCUGACUUCGGCUCAGGUCACGAUCUCGUGAUUCGUGGGUUCGAGCCCCGCGUUGGGCU